rnacentral:rRNA from 1 species
AUGACAGAUAAAUCACAAUGGCCACCUGUGGAGCUACCAUUUGUUGUGGGGGCACCACUUGCGAAAAGAAAUAAAGGAAGACAAAGGAAAUUGAGGAUCAAAGGAUGUCUUGAAGGUGGCCACAAGAAAAAAGGUGACAAUGAUGCUCCGAAGGAUGAUGAUAGCACCGCUCCCACCAAUUCUAAGGGAAAGAAAAUGAUUAGAGGGCCAGUGACUUGCAAGAAAUGUGGUGAAAAGGGUCAUAGGCAAGCUAGUUACAAGUGUCCACUCAAUGGAACCAAAAAAUGGAAGAGGAAGCCUAGAAAGAACAGUACAAAAGCUAGGCCAGCUGAACCUAGCACCCCACAAAGACCUACUAGAGAACAAAUAUUGCAGGACAGUCCAAGCAUGGUCACUAGAAGCCGCCUUGCUAUCUUGUUGGGAGAGGGUAGUUCUUCACAAACCACUAAAACUACCCCUGAGAGGAUGCCAACAGCAGCUCCACCAAAGAAGAUGACCCCAAGGAGGAUGCCAGCCACAGCUCCACCAAAGAAGAUGACUCCAAAGAGGAAGUUAUCUAUUUGA